GAUGAACGCUGGCGGCGUGCCUAAUACAUGCAAGUCGAGCGAACAGACGAGGAGCUUGCUCCUCUGACGUUAGCGGCGGACGGGUGAGUAACACGUGGAUAACCUACCUAUAAGACUGGGAUAACUUCGGGAAACCGGAGCUAAUACCGGAUAAUAUAUUGAACCGCAUGGUUCAAUAGUGAAAGACGGUUUUGCUGUCACUUAUAGAUGGAUCCGCGCCGCAUUAGCUAGUUGGUAAGGUAACGGCUUACCAAGGCAACGAUGCGUAGCCGACCUGAGAGGGUGAUCGGCCACACUGGAACUGAGACACGGUCCAGGCUCCUACGGGAGGCAGCAGUAGGGAAUCUUCCGCAAUGGGCGAAAGCCUGACGGAGCAACGCCGCGUGAGUGAUGAAGGUCUUCGGAUCGUAAAACUCUGUUAUUAGGGAAGAACAAAUGUGUAAGUAACUAUGCACGUCUUGACGGUACCUAAUCAGAAAGCCACGGCUAACUACGAG
rnacentral:rRNA from 1 species